ACGUGAUCUGAGUUCAGACCGGAGUAAUCCAGGUCAGUUUCUAUCUAUAACGGGGCUCUUUCCAGUACGAAAGGACCGAAAAAGCAUGGCCAAUACCUUCUGCACGCCAUAAUUAACAACUUAUGAUUAAACCUUAAUAAAUAAUUAAUCCACCAACCAGCUCUAAAAAAGAGC
rnacentral:rRNA from 1 species